rnacentral:rRNA from 1 species
GUGGGGAAUCUUGCGCAAUGGGCGAAAGCCUGAUCCAGCAAUGCCGCGUGAGUGAAGAAGGCCUUAGGGUUGUAAAGCUCUUUUACCCGGGAUGAUAAUGACAGUACCGGGAGAAUAAGCUCCGGCUAACUCCGUGCCAGCAGCCGCGGUAAUACGGAGGGAGCUAGCGUUGUUCGGAAUCACUGGGCGUAAAGCGCACGUAGGCGGCUUUGUAAGUUAGAGGUGAAAGCCCGGGGCUCAACUCCGGAACUGCCUUUAAGACUGCAUCGCUUGAAUCUGGGAGAGGUGAGUGGAAUUCCGAGUGUAGAGGUGAAAUUCGUAGAUAUUCGGAAGAACACCAGUGGCGAAGGCGGCUCACUGGACCAGAAUUGACGCUGAGGUGCGAAAGCGUGGGGAGCAAACAGGAUUAGAAACCCGAGUAGUCC